rnacentral:rRNA from 1 species
UUUUAACGGCUGCGGUAUUUUGACCGUGCUAAGGUAGCAUAAUCAAUUGUUUUUUAAUUGAAAACUAGUAUGAACGGUUUAAUUUACUUAAUUAGUUUGUAAUUUUUAAUAGUAAGUUAGAUAUAAAGUAAGAAUUCUUUAAUAAAUUAGGGGACGAUAAGACCCUAAAAGCUUUAUGAUUGGCAUUUAAUUGGUGAUAUCGGUGUUAUUAAUUCACUGGGGCAGUGAGUUUAGGUAUAUUUAAGUAUAAUUAAAAGCUCCUUUAAAUAAAGAUUUCAUGUAUAAGUUACUUUAGGGAUAACAGUGCAAUAUAUU